GUCCAAAAGUCUAAAUUGACAUUUUGACAGGUCGACGACGCGCUAAUUACGGUAGAGGCCGUUCUAGUUCUAUUUGCGCUGGGUCGCGAGAGAUAGUUGUCGACGCAUCCCGAGACAUUGAUCUUAGUUAUUGACACCACUACAGGUUCCAGUGCGAGCGGUGUGGCCGAGGAUCGCGGCAAGAGCCCAGCAGUUUAGCUAGCUGACACCAGAGUAUAGUUGUUUACCAUUUUGGGUUUAUGUAUCAUCCAUCUUGAUGUACCAGACAUGAAAAUGAAUGUAUUUAAGAGAAUGUAAAUAACUGAAGGUUUCAGUUAUUCAGUUUCAUACAGUUCAGUUCAAAGUUUUAAA